AAACUAAACAGGAUGGAAGCACAUAGCAUCAUGAUGGCAAGAACAAGAAUGCUGGCAGUAAAAUGCAACUAUAGGAAUAAAUAUGCCAAUGUAUCCUGUAGGUUCUGCAAUGCUGAGGAGGAAACUCAAAAACAUAUACUAGAGGAAUGCCAGCAAAUCAAUAGGCAAGAAUGCCCGAAAGUAACAACGGGGGAUAUCUUUGAAGAAGAUACAACCAAAUUAAGAGAAACUGCAAAAGCUCUUACACGGAUCGAGGAAAAGCUAAAACACUAAUGUGCUGCUCCCCCCUCAGAAUGGUAGAGGAGCCCAUUGGAUUUAACGAACAGUACCCCCCCCGCGCCUCUCCGGGCUGGGACUUCCCUUGAAAGGAGCCCCGUCAUCAGUGUACAUACUCUGCUGGAACACCGCGCCGUGUUCAGGACCCGCGCCCGUAACCAUGUGUUGUGUAUGAGGCGUCAGCAGGCAGCACGUCCAUGUGCGGCUCUGCGCCAUGGCACCGCAAGCAGCGGCGUGCACGCCUGUUCAAACGCACUGCUUUCUAUCACUCUCAUUUGAGGUUCUGACGGGCUGAUGAUAUAUGAACUAAUACACUAAGGUGAAAAGUUGAAAAAGUUUUAAAAAUCCCUUUCAUAUUUGAUGGGAAUGUGGCGUGUUGGCUGCGACUCUGCCCCAGGUAAGUUACCUACAACAGCCAAUCGCUCAUUUACACUACUCUUUUUUUUUUAAGCAUUAAUACAUAACAUUCAUUUCUUACCUUCUUUUUUGUUUCCUUGCGUGGUUGUUGCACACUGCACAGCUCCUUUGGUUCUCGGAUGCUGUCGACAUGCGACGCACAUGUAAAUGCCAGACAGUUUUGCGCGUGCGCAUGAAAGUUUUCGCGCUGGCCAUAGUUUAGUUCCGCCUCAACGUUUAAUAUCUAUUAAAAAUAACUGAAAGUAUUAUUUUUUUUUAUUGUGUUCACAUAUAAUCUUUGUCAUUCAUGUCGCUUCAUAACGCCACUUGGGUCUUUCUGCAUUUAGUAAUUUUCUAGACGGACUUCAUUUUUGGGAUGGACCAGUAUCCAUUUUUUUCUACUCCCGCCAAAAUUUCUUUAGUCCAUAUUGUCUGAAUCGUCUGAACAUUGUGCUUCAUUAUGAAUUUAACUCAAAAAUUAUUAGAAACAAUUGAAAAGGGGAAAAAAAGAAUAGUGCUGAUAAAAUGGCUGCAGAAAAUGAUAGUUAUUAGCAAAAAGAAGAGAUGUUCCCUUUGCAACAAUAGAAUGCAAUUAAAAAAAUGUGGCAGUACUAAGUAUGGAUACUGUUGGUAAGUUUUCUCACAACUUGUUAAUAACAGCUGCUGGACUUUUUAUCAUUUGUUAUGAUUAAUGUUAUUUGCCAUAUGUAGUAUGGAGACUACUAUAAAAAUGAUUAUACUGAUGAUGUAUGAGUUAAUACCAAAUUAAUUAAGUCAUCAGUGUGCUGUGUUAAUAUUUUGUAUGUUAACAUAGCUCUUCUCCUCAGGGUUUGUCGAAGACAUAGGAAAUACAUGUCCAAAUCAAUUAGAGAUGGCUCUCUUCUCCUGAUCUCGUUCCAUGUUGACAUCAUGGAUGAUGUACAUUCAUAGGUUUGCUCAAGGACUGAGACUGAGACAUGUUGAUUUAACCCAAGAAGGACUUUGUAGAAGCAGCCGGACACUGUCCAAGAUGGGCAAGGCUCUAAAGAAAGUGUGCAUAAAUACUGUGAAGCGGAUGGAGAGGAGAGGAAGAAUGACCAUUGGUGGAAGAAGGGCCUAUGUGUGCAUAGAUGAAAGCAAAUUUUGCCACAAGAGAAAAUAUGGCCGUGGAAGGUUUGGCACUGCUUGGAGAAGAAGAGGUUGGGUGUUUGGGAUGCUGGAAGUCAGAGGAAAGCGAAGGCGUCCAGUGUUAAAAUUUGUUCGCAGACGAAGUGCUGCAGAGUUGAUGCCAAAAAUACAGCAGUAUGUAAAACCAUUAAGCACAAUCAUAAGUGAUUCCUGGCGUCCGUAUCAUAGACUGAGACAACAUGGAUACAUUCAUUAUCAAAUCAACCACAACAGAUUUUUUGUUCAUCCUGUUUCCGGCGCACACACCCAACACAUUAAGUGGGCUUGGAGAACAUUUAAACAGGAGGUUUACCGAUUCAUGGGAAAUCUCACUAAACACACCUUGAAAGACACCCUUCGGUGCAUUGAGUGGAACUACUGGUUAGGUCGUGAACACAAAAAGGGAACAAUAUACCGCCUUUUAAAGGAUAUCCGAGCAAUGUACACAGUUUGAUUUUUUUUUUUUCACUUCCCAUACAUACUGUAACCCUUUAAACACCAGCAAAAUAAACAGAAUUGUAAUUUC